CAAACAACGGCUGAGGGUGGUCAUCAUGGCUCCCCCCCCCCUCUCUCCCCGUCUCUUCUCUCUCCCAGAUCUCUGCAGCCUUCUGCCCGUUGUCUCUCCUUUUCCUCUUCUCUUUUUCCCAGCAUCCAAAACGUGUUGUGCUGCAGGACCUAGAGAUUUAUAGACACCAACAACAUCCAGCCUGCACAACACCUGACCUUGAUUAUAGACUGCAGUACUACUCCUAUAUCCAUGUGACUGGUAUCUGCUAUUUCCAUUAUCCACAUCCAACAAAAUAUGUUCUCUCGAUACAUUUUAUCAUAGAUAUUCUGGGUUAUAUGGCUGUGUGAAAGGGCCCUAGGACUCGGAGCAAUGGUUUCAAAUUACAGCCAAGGAGAUUCCACCUGAACAUUAGGAAGAACUUCCUGACUGUAAGAGCUGUUCAACAGUGGAACUCUCUGCCUCGGAGUGUGGUGGAAGCUUUUUCUUUGGAGACUUUUAAACAGAAGUUGGAUAGCCAUUUGUUGUGGGUGCUUUGAUUGUGCUUUUCCUGCAUGGCAAGAGGUUGAACUGGAUGGCCCAUGUAGUCUUUUCCAAUUCUAUGAUCCUAUGAUCUUAUUUUAAUUAUUUCCAUAAGUUUUUAUUAUGCAUUUCAAAAAGAAAUUCACACCAAAAAAAAAGGAGAAUAAAGAAGGGGAUAAGGGUUGUGGAACUCUGGUUAGUAAAUUAAAACCAUGUAAAUGUCUACUGUGUCACCGAGGAAGAGGAAGGGGAUGGAGGGGGAAGAGAAACCUUAUAUUUGUUAUAAUUAAUACAUCUGAAUCUUCAGCUCAAGUACUAUUAUACACACCAUCUAAAGUUUUGAAAGUCUUGUAUAUCCUACAUUACAGAAAAAAACAGCCCUGUCAUUAGACAUAAAAACUGGUAGUCGUGUCUUCCCAUACUAUCCGAUGUUCUUCCUGUCUUUUUUUCCAGUUCUUUACAUGUCUUUUAAUUAUGCCUGCAAGGGUGGCUCUGUGGACCACAUGGACCCCAGGUGACACUAUGGACACCAGAGAAACAAGUUGGUUGUCCUUUAUUUUUCUUAGUGAAGUCAGAAAUCUGUCUCUUCAAUGUUAUCCUAGAGAAAUGUACCAAUUCAUAUAUACUGUCUCCUAGAGCUGUCAUCUGAAAACUGCUUGGCCUUAAUGGCUUCUAACUAGUAUUAUUCAAAAUAUUUCAAGACAAUCAAUGCAAAGGCAGUUCAUAAGCCACUUCUCCAUUCUGCUGUCCAGUCCAAAGCAUUUGGCACUAAUGAGAAAGAGUGUAAUGAGAAUCAAUGAGAAAAGUGCAAAAUAUCAGUCAUAGUAAUUAACCAUAAAUAUGUCAUGAACUGAAUCAAAGGUUUGCAGAAUAAAACUUUGUUUAUGUUAUGUUAGAGAUGUCAUCUUAGAAGCACCCCUGUCUCUAAAGCAGAAGGAAAUUCACAGUCUGUUUCAUAAUGAGAUGCACUGGCUUGGUCCAAAUGAUCACAUCUUGGCUUAUCAAACUGAGACACAUAAAUGCUUUUGCUAACACACAAACCCCUUCACUUUUCCUCUUGUGUGACAAAAUUAAUCCCAGACAUCUUCAAGGAAUAGUUUAUUUCAUAUUAUGGUCAAUGUAUCCUCACAAAUCUAUUAAUAAUUGAUUCUCAGUUUGGAUGAAAUGGGAAACUAUGGUCAUUGGUAGACUAAGUGGCUUACCAUGCUAUGGAGAAGAUAACCAGCAGCUCAAGAUCACAACCAAAGGUUAAGCACAAUCCAUAUACUGAGCCAAGAUAUGAUAUUCUAGACCAGGCUUGCUCUUGUUUUCUUGAGUUAUUGCUGUUUCUCUACGGAAUUCUAAACUCUACCUUUCAUACAUAACUUUGCAGUUCUUUGGCUAAGUUGCUCACACAACAAUGACAGAAAGGUGAAUUUAAGGACCCCUGGUUUUGCCUGGGGUUGUGGACUUUUUUUCAACUCAUUCAACCUCCAAGUCGCCCCUGAAUGUGUAAACAAUUCAGGGGUUGAAGUGAGUUCAGAACAUUAACCCUAGGCCAAGAUAACAGAUGGUGUAAACUAAGAGAUCCUUUGCCUUCCCUUGGUUUCAUGCAUGGCUAUCAACUCAACACACCAGCCAAGCAUUAUCUAUUAUUACACUAUUUAAUUUAUCAAUAACUGUAAUCAUAGAGCUCCUCUUAUUUUGCAAAGAGGAAAACGUGCAGAAUACAAACUUUGAAAGAAAUUGCAUCCACAAUUGCACACCUGUUUUGCAGUGCUAGGUAUAACAAAAUCAUCUAUUUAAAGUUGCUUUCUUGACCAGUCUUUAAGAAUAAAAGUGGUAAAAGAAUGUUUCUUUGUCUAUCUGUUUCUCAUCAUAGAGCAACAUGAAGGAAAUAGGAAUAUGGUGAGGCUGUAAGGAUUCAAAGUUGCUUGGUAUCUUCCAAAGUUCAAUUCUACUGACUUCAUUUGGCUUUGUGGGUUUUUUCCCCAUAGCCUCCUCAAAAUAUUCCAUGCUAUAUGUAAUGUUAACUGCAAAAGCCCACAGCAGUUUUCUGUCUUGAAGCCUUAUGCAAAGUCUUCUCUAUUGUUGCUGUUACGUGUCUUCAAGUCAUUUCCAACUUAUAGUGACCCAAAGGUGAAUGUUAUAAAGUAGGUGCAACGAAAAAGUAGGUGCAAUUUUUAAAAAUAGAAAUAGUCUUUAAAAAUGUUAAACUUUCCAGUGGACACUAGAGCGAAUGAAUGAUAAGACCCUGAGGGGAUACAUUCCUGAAUUUACUGUGGAAACAAGAAACCAUGGAUAAUAGUGAAUCUUAUUGAAAUGAAUUAUUUCUGCCAGAGGUUACUACAGAGUUGCUCUGAAGAAGUUAGAAAAUUGUUUGGAGGACCUAAAUGAAACUGCAGUUAAUGGUCUUAUGGAGAUGAGGGCUGUGCUAUAUUUUAGCCUUACUGCCAAACUAUUAUUAUUAUUAUUAUUAUUUUAUGACACAGCAAACAAGAUAGAUAUGCUGGAUUUUGUAUCACAACAUCACAAGUCGAACACUUCCCAAGUGUCUAGGACUGUGUGAUGUAUUUUCGGAUGAUGCGCGCAGAUCUCAGUAGGGUGGCCUUGUUGUUGUUGUUGUUGUUGUUGUUGUUGUUAUUAUUAUUAUUAUUAUUAUUAUUAUUAUUAUUAUUAUUAUUAUACCCUGCUUUAUCUUCCCCACAGGGGACUCAAAGCGGCUCUAUAUUCUGAAAAUGGUUUAUUUUGAAAAGUACAAUUUUGAAAGUAAUUGGGCAGGAAUAAAUAUAUGCUUCUUGUAAGAAGUGCUUUAGAAGUCCUCUAUCAACCUAUGCUAUUUAUUCUAUUCAUAAAACAUCUAGAGAGAAGCUUAAGCAAAGCUCAGCUUAAUAUACCAAAUGAAACAUGCUCAAAAUAGACAUAAAGAGAUGUACAAGGAGAUCUUUCCAAACUGAGUAACUAGACAAAACAUAUCAACUGAUGAGAUUUGCUUUUAAUAGAGACUAAAGGCAAUACACACUGAAGACUAUCAUAACAUAAAGCCCACUAAGGACGUCAAUGUACUGUUUAACUACAGUACAACAGAAAGAUACUUUCAUAGUAGACAGAAAAAGUCCAUGGAAAGUAGAUUUGAAUACAAUUCAACCAUGCCACACAGAGGUAAGUUUCCUGCACUUAGGCACAUGCCACUGACUAUCAAGAUACAGAAUCCAGUAAAUACGAGAACAGUAUCAACACCUUGUUUUGCUUAUAACCUCUUCUUUUGACAACAACCAAGCAAGUUUAAAUACUGACCAAGGGGAGAAACCUUUGGCCUUCCAAUGUUUUGACAACAAUAGGCCCUCCGCUUUCAAGACCUCAACAAAAGUGGGAAAGCAACUAAUGAAAAAAGAGGGUUUUUUAAACGUGGGAGAACACCUCUCUGAGAAGUCCUCCAGCAUGACACUAUGGUCUAUAUCUGCCAGAAAUUGACUAUAUAAUCAUGCUGGAGGACCUACAAAUGGGUAGAAAAAUAUUAUCUCUAGGGAAUCAAUAGAUCCUCCAGAUAUGGUCAACGUCUGGGGGAGACUGACCAUAUAAUUGUGCUGGAGGAAAUAUAGAUUCCUCGAGAAAAAAAAUACUAAACAAAUCUGCAAAUAAUCAAUUCCACAAAAGUUAAAUUUGCAUAUGUGGAGGACCAGCUGUAUAAUAUUUUACUAAUAUCCAUGCUAGAUCGGGUUUCUUGAGGUUCUGGAAUACUAUAUCCAUUACACGGCAAUGCUAUAAAUAUUUCUGAUGCAAUUUCUACUAGUUUGUCACACAUACAGAGAGGACACCUAAUGUUAAGACAUGAUAUAUGAUCCUGUAUCUAAUUAAUAAUAAUAAUAAUAAUAAUAAUAAUAAUAAUACCCUGCUUUUUCUCACCACAAAGGAGACUCAAAGAGGUUUCCAUUAAAACAUUUCAAUACAAUACAAUACAAUACAAUACAAUACAAUACAAUACAAUACAAUACAAAACAAUACAAUACAAUAUGUAUAGUCUUCCCAGACAUCUUUCUCUAAAAAUAAUUACAAGCAGUCCCCAGGUAAGAACAAGAUAGGUUCUAUAGGUUUGUUCUGGCAUGGUAUGGGGAAGUAUGAAACGUAGCCUUAAAUGAUAAACUAUCAAUGGAAAUUAGGGUGUUCAGGGGGGAAAUUAAUAGAAAAUUAAUAGAUCAGAAUUUGAUUAAUAUUGGUCGCUUUUCAUUAAAUACAUUUUAGAGAGUGAUAAGGGCAAACAAUACAACCUUGUUUGGUCAGGAUUUUUGGAUAUGACUUUUGUGUACUGCUUGACUCUUAAAAUUAAGGCAAAGGAAAUGAUAUUUGUUCAGUCCUGGAUAGUAGGGUUAUGUGUUUGUAAAAUUUUCAUUGUUUUGCGUUUUGUUUCCACUGUAAGCUGUUAAUGUAUGUAAAUAAAAAUUUAUACAAUA